UAAAGCACUUUAGUGGGGGAGGAAGGAUGAUUUGCUAAUACCGAAUCAUAUUGACAGUACCCCAAGAAUAAGCACCGGCAAACUCUGUGC
rnacentral:rRNA from 1 species